rnacentral:misc_RNA from 1 species
ACGAGUCAGGGUCUCACCGGCCCGACCUCCCAACCCUUUGUCUACCUGACCAUCGUUGCUUCGGCGAGCCCGUCCUCACGGACCGCCGGAGGGACCUUCACCGGCCCUCUGGCCCGCGCUCGUCGACGGCCCCCAAUUUUAAAAUCUUAACUAAACGUGUCUUGAAUCUAAGUACUAUUGUUAAAUAAAAACA